rnacentral:rRNA from 1 species
AGAGUUUGAUUCUGGCUCAGAAUGAACGCUGGCGGCAUGGAUUAGGCAUGCAGGUCGAACGUGCUCCCUUCGGGGAGAAAGUGGCGAAAGGGUGAGUAACACGUGAGCAACCUGCCUCCGGAUCCGGAAUAAUCCAGGGAAACUUGGUCUAAAACCGGAUGAAGACAUUGGUCCGCAUGGUCUAAUGUUAAAAUAUUUAUAGUCCGGAGAGGGGCUCGCGGCCCAUUAGCUUGUUGGCGGGGUAAUGGCCCACCAAGGCUACGACGGGUAGGUGGUCUGAGAGGAUGGUCACCCACACUGGGACUGAGACACUGCCCAGACUCCUACGGGAGGCUGCAGUCGAGAAUCUUCCGCAAUGGGCGCAAGCCCUGACGGAGCGAUGCCGCGUGAGGGAUGAAGGCCUUCGGGUUGUAAACCUCUGUCAUCCGGGACGAAAACAAUGACGGUACCGGAAAAGGAAGCCACGGCUAACCACGUGCCAGCCGCGGC